rnacentral:rRNA from 1 species
UACGGAGGGAGCUAGCGUUGUUCGGAAUUACUGGGCGUAAAGCGCACGUAGGCGGCUUUGUAAGUUAGAGGUGAAAGCCCGGGGCUCAACUCCGGAACUGCCUUUAAGACUGCAUCGCUUGAAUCCAGGAGAGGUGAGUGGAAUUCCGAGUGUAGAGGUGAAAUUCGUAGAUAUUCGGAAGAACACCAGUGGCGAAGGCGGCUCACUGGAGCUGGUAUUGACGCUGAGGUGGCGAAAGCGUGGGGAUCAAACAGG